UACGUAGGGUGCAAGCGUUAUCCGGAUUUAUUGGGCGUAAAGGGCUCGUAGGCGGUUCGUCGCGUCCGGUGUGAAAGUCCAUCGCUUAACGGUGGAUCCGCGCCGGGUACGGGCGGGCUUGAGUGCGGUAGGGGAGACUGGAAUUCCCGGUGUAACGGUGGAAUGUGUAGAUAUCGGGAAGAACACCAAUGGCGAAGGCAGGUCUCUGGGCCGUUACUGGCGCUGAGGAGCGAAAGCGUGGGGAGCGAACAGG
rnacentral:rRNA from 1 species